CAAAAGUAAUGAUGAAAUAGAAAGGGAAUAGUAAAAUGAGCAGAGGGAAAAAGGACAAGUGAGAGAACGACUUAAAUAUUUGAUGUGACAGUAAGAUAAAGAAAAACUUGGAGGAUUUAGGGACAUAGAUUCAGUUAUUGUACAAGACACCAACAAACUGAAAAACUAAAGGGUCGAGCAGGAAAGAGCUUUAAAAAAAAGUAGGUAAGACUCGGAAGGCAGUUCAUGCAACAAAGGGUGGCUACAGCCUUAAAAAAAUAAAUGUAUUCUGGUAUGCAAUGGAUGUACUUAUAGCACACCUCAAUAAUUAAUAGUAAACAAAUACUGAACACCUGAAUUAGCUUCAUUUUUGUAAAGUAUGUCUGUAGGAGAUACAAUAUACUGUGAGAUAAAUGAUAAGCAGGACAAACUUAAUAUUUUUAAACUAUGGACAAUCGGGUAGGGUCAGUAUCAUGUCUGUAGGUAGGUAGUUGGUCAGGUGAUGAGGAAAGGGAGGAACACAAAGAGGACAACUGGUGGCCGGGAGAACAAGAACAGGGUCUGAAAUGAUGGCAGAUGUUAGUAAAGCCAACAAACUAUUUUAAUCAAUCAGGCAACAAUAAAGGCUAUGGAAGAGGUCUGCAAACUGACGGUGACGGAAGCUGUGGCAAAAGUGGACCAUGGCCAGAUGGAGGAAAGGUAAGUGCAAAUGAUGACUUUUAUAGGAUGUUUCCCAAUUGAGCAAUCGAUGAAGAUGUGUUUAAUGUUUCUCAAGAGAUAAACAUUACCUUUUUACUUUUUUACUGUUUUGUAGUGAGAAAGAAGACAUUUUCAUGUCCAUUCGAAAUGAGAUGGAGAGACGGGAUUUGACAUGAAAGAAAAGAUGUUCAAAAAAUGUUUGUCCCUUUAUUUUCAAUAAAGGUUUCACAAAUCA